GUACCAGUACAGAGUCAAUGUGGAGGCUAUAUACAGGGGGGGUACCGGUACAGAGUCAAUAUGGAGGCUAUAUACAGGGGGGUACCGGUACAGAGUCAAUAUGGAGGCUAUAUACAGGGGGUACCAGUACAGAGUCAAUGUGGAGGCUAUAUACAGGGGGGGUACCGGUACAGAGUCAAUAUGGAGGCUAUAUACAGGGGGGUACCGGUACAGAGUCAAUAUGGAGGCUAUAUACAGGGGGGUACCGGUACAGAGUCAAUAUGGAGGCUAUAUACAGGGGGGUACCGGUACAGAGUCAAUAUGGAGGCUAUAUACAGGGGGUACCGGUACAGAGUCAAUGUGCAGGUAGUCGAGGUAAUUGAGGUAAUAUGUACAUCUAGGUGGAGGUAGAGUUAGUGACUAUGUAUAGAUAAUAAACAGAGAGUAGCAGCAGUGUUAAAGAGGAGUCUGGGUAGCCAUUUGAUUAGCUGUUCAGGAGUCUUAUGGCUUGGGGGUAGANNNNNNNNNNNNNNNNNNNNNNNNNNNNNNNNNNNNNNNNNNNNNNNNNNNNNNNNNNNNNNNNNNNNNNNNNNNNNNNNNNNNNNNNNNNNNNNNNNNNNNNNNNUUAGCUAGUCAGACUAACUUGCUAAAUAGCAAUUUUCGUAAAAUUAACUUUAUGACAAAAAAAAAUAUGUACAAACGUCUGUCUCUACAUUAACUAACAUAUUCCUCUCAAUUGUACAUGUUUUGCUUGACUCGUUAUGACGUUAUAACGACUUACAUCUGAAUCCACCGUAAUGUUUUGUCAGCCAUCUUUGUUGAAGAACGACACAAGGCACGGGUGGCUCGCGUCAAAAUUCGUCAUCGGAAUCACUCGAUAUGAUUGGUCAUAUAAAAACCUUGGGACCCAAAUGAUAAUAAGACGAUUAAAUGACAUCUUUACAUUUUAAAAACCAAAGUCGAUCAGAAGUCCAGUUAUUCCUAUACAUGUUAUACCCCUUGAUCUUCAAGAACAGGACUUGGAAAUAUGGAAGUAUAGAUUAGACUAAUUGUUUUACAUGAGCGUUACCCCAAAACUAAGGACUUAUUAGCCAGCCCUACUCUGUUGUUUAUGAUUUUGUUAUCACGGGAGAACUGAUUGGGCUUUUCGAGCACUACUGAAAAGUGCUAUUUAUAUGUGAAAAAUGAAUGCAAUAUGCUGUAUUUGCUACAGGCCUAUUGUUUACCUUUUAGUUGGUGACACUUUGAUAUCUUGAUAAUAUAAAGCAGUUUAUUAAAGGGCAAAUCCACAGGUGAAACCAGAACAAAACGGAAGCUCCGCCUCUGUUUUGGUAUAAAAAAAAAAUAAAAUAAAAAAAUUUAAAAAAAGAGGGAUGGGUGUCACGGGAUUCUUCCUGGGAAGGAGAGGCGGACCAAUACGCAGCAUGGUUGAAGUUCAUGGUUUUUUUAAUAAGAAAACUAUACAUGAACAAACUACAAAAACAAUAAAUGUGGAAAACCCAAACCCAGUCCUGUGUGGUACAAACACUGACACAGGAGACAAUCACCCACAAAAACACAACACCAAACAGGCUACCUAAAUAUGGUUCCCAAUCAGAGACAACGACUAACACCUGCCUCUGAUUGAGAACCAUAUCAGGCCAGACAUAGAAAUAGACAAACUAGACAUCCAACAUAGAAUGCCCACUCAGAUCACACCCUGACCAAACAAAACAUAGAAACAUACAAAGCAAACUAUGGUCAGGGUGUGACAAUGGGCAAGGAGAAAUGUAACCACUCGCAGAUUUUCCAGAUUCACUGACCUUCAUGUCUUAAAAUAAUGAUGGACUGUCAUUUCGCUUUGCCCUUUUGAGCUGUUCUUGCCAUAAUAUGGACUUGGUCUUUUACCAAACAGGGCUAUCUUCUGUAUACCAUCCCUACCUUGUCACAACACAACUGAUUGGCUCCAACGCUUUAAGAAGGAAAGCAAUUCCACAAAUUAACUUUUAAUUUGAAGAGGAGGGAAUGGGAGAAUAGGUAUUUUGGGAGGUAGGAAAGUCUGUCAUAACAGUCUGAAAGGGAGAAGAGUUUUUUUGGGAGAGAGGAAAGUCUGUAAUAUCAGUCUGAAUGGGAGAAGAGGAAUUUUGGGAGGUAAGAGAGUCAGUCAAUCUGAAUGGGAGAAGAGGCGUUUUGGGAGGUAAGAGAGUCUGUCAGUCUGAAUGGGAGAAGAUGGGGAAAAAGGUAUUAAGUAGGAAAGUCUGUAUUUAUCGAGUAUGAAGGUAAGACCCAGAUGCAGACCACAUUGAAUAAUUAAUAGUUUAAUAUUCCAACAGGGGCAGGAAAUAGACAGGUCAAGGCAGGAAGGGGUCAGUCUGGAAAGUCUGUAAUAUCAGUCUGAAUGGGAGAAGAGGUAUUUUGGGAGGUAGGAGAGUCUGUAAUAUCAGUCUGAAUGGGAGAAGAGGUAUUUUGGGAGGUAGGAAAGUCUGUAAUAUCAGUCUGAAUGGGAGAAGAGGUUUUUUGGGAGGAAGGAAAGUCUGUAAUAUCAGUCUGAAUGGGAGAAGAGGUGUUUUUGGGAGGUAGGAAAGUCUGUAAUAUCAGUCUGAAUGGGAGAAGAGUUUUUUGGGAGGUAAGAGAGGUUGUCAGUCUGAAUGGGAGAAGAGUUUUUUGGGGAGGUAGGAAACUCUGUAAUAUCUGAAUGGGAGAAGAGGUGUUUUUUGGGAGGUAGGAAAGUCUGUAAUAUCUGAAUGGGAGAAGAGGUGUUUUUUGGGAGGUAGGAAAGGCCGACACAAUAGGCGGAGGUGGUGUAUUGAGACACAGUCAGUAUAAAUUGACUGAUUUUUUAAUGGGGAUUUUGUAUGAUGUUACUUAGAUUGAAGAAUAGGUGCAUCAAUAGACUCUAAAGGAUUUAAAGAGACAGAGAUCCAAAGAGCAGAAGGAGGCCAAUCCAGGAUAUGGUGUGGUAACAUCUGAAGGCCAGGGUGGGGUGGGGUCACUGCUAUCACCAGGUUCACAUUACCAUCAACAAUUAAAUCCAGCAUGCAAUAUUGGGUGCAUUCCCAGCACUGUGUGUGUGUGUGUGUGUGUGUGUGUGUGCUUUGUUAGCUUGUGUGUUUGAUGGAUUGUGUGAUAUUUUAGUCCCUUUUCCUACCUCCCAAAACACCUCUUUCCCCUUCCCCUCCCAUUCAGACUGAUAUUACAGAUGUGGCAUUAUGAUAACAGAUUAUACAUGAGUGUUGUCUGGGUGAUAGAAACACAGCAUGUUAUAUUGGGGAGCGGCAGGGUAGCCUAGUGGUUAUAUGCAGGUAGCCUAGAGGUUAGAGGCAGGUAGUCUAGUGGUUAGAGGCAGGUAGCCUAGAGGUUAGAGGCAGGUAGUCUAGUGGUUAGAGGCAGGUAGCCUAGUGGUUAGAGCAGGUAGUCUAGUGGUAAGAGGCAGGUAGCCUAGAGGUUAGAGGCAGGUAGCAGAGUGGUUAGAGCAGGUAGCCUAGAGGUUAGAGCAGGUAGCCUAGUGGUUAGAGGCAGGUCGUCUAGNNNNNNNNNNGUUAGCUAGUCAGACUAACUUGCUAAAUAGCAAUUUUCGUAAAAUUAACUUUAUGACAAAAAAAAAUAUGUACAAACGUCUGUCUCUACAUUAACUAACAUAUUCCUCUCAAUUGUACAUGUUUUGCUUGACUCGUUAUGACGUUAUAACGACUUACAUCUGAAUCCACCGUAAUGUUUUGUCAGCCAUCUUUGUUGAAGAACGACACAAGGCACGGGUGGCUCGCGUCAAAAUUCGUCAUCGGAAUCACUCGAUAUGAUUGGUCA
rnacentral:lncRNA from 13 species